AAAGUCAGCCGAACAGUCGCUGUCCCACGCGCGCCGAUUGGUUCGCCUGGGACGGAGGAAAGUCCGGGCUCCGCAGGGUAGAGUGCCAGGUAACGCCUGGGGGACGUGAGUCCACGGAAAGUGCCGCAGAAAAUAUACCGCCUAAGCAGCGUGCUGCCGGUAAGGGUGAAAUGGUGUGGUAAGAGCGCACCGCGCUUCUGGUAACAGAAGUGGCAGGGUAAACCCCACUCGGAGCAAGACCAAAUAGGAAUCCUAUGGCGCGACCCGUGCCGGAUUCGGGUAGGUCGCUAGAGGUGCCUGGCGACAGGCAUCCCAGAUGAAUGGCUGUUUACGACAGAACCCGGCUUACAGGCUGACUUUCUUU
rnacentral:RNase_P_RNA from 1 species